rnacentral:rRNA from 1 species
UAAUACAGAGGUCUCAAGCGUUGUUCGGAUUUAUUGGGCGUAAAGCGUGCGUAGGCGGCGGGGUAAGUGAGGUGUGAAAUCCCGGAGCUUAACUCCGGAACUGCACUUUAUACUGCCUUGCUCGAGGGCUGGAGAGGAGACUGGAAUUUACGGUGUAGCAGUGAAAUGCGUAGAGAUCGUAAGGAAGACCAGUGGCGAAGGCGAGUCUCUGGAAAGCUGCUGACGCUGAGGCACGAAGGCCAGGGGAGCAAACGGGAUUAGAUACCCCGGUAGUCCUGGCAGUAAACGGUGCGCGUUUGGUGUGGGAGGAUUCGACCCCUUCCGUGCCGGAGCUAACGCGUUAAACGCGCCGCCUGGGGAGUACGAUCGCAAGAUUA